ensembl:ncRNA F13D11.10 ncRNA
AGAGAGAAUGAAGGGUUUUAUUUAGAUUAGGUCAGAUUGAAGUGAACAAUAAAAAACCAACUUUCUAAACACGCCCUCGUUUUUUUCGUUCUUUUUUCCGAAAUCAUCUCAUUCUCUCAAUUCGAAUAGGUUGGCGCCGCGAAGG